rnacentral:ncRNA from 1 species
GUUGACCGAUACCGACGGCUGGUCACCGCCAGUGGGAUUUCCUGUUUUUUAAUAACAGGCGGCUGUACUGAGUACAUCACCAAACCCCAACACCUCAACACCGUUUCGCUCUGGUGCAUAGGUAUCGUCAA